UGAUCUCAUAUCAACACUAUAGCUUGUAGUAAAAACUCAUAAAAGCAGGCUUAUUACAUGAUGAAUGCAUGAGGGUACUUAGUGUUUAGUCAAACUCUGAUUUAAAGAAUCUGAAUUACAUUUGCAUUGACAUAAUAGGCUACAAAAGUAUAAUUCUCUUUUGAUGAUGACAUGUACAAUCAUUCUUAUAAUGGGGCCAUACAGCAUAGAGACGAUUAAUAACUGAUUAAUAACAAUUUGCAUUUUUCGCUUGUGUUGUCAUAUGGCUUCAGUCCAGCUCCAGUGCUCUGAUCUCAAAUUGGGCAUUGAGCUAAACAGUUCUUCUGAGAGGCGGUCCAGGCAAUCUGAUAGGCCAGUACCCUCUCUUUGUCCAAACUAUUUCAAUCGCAUUGAAAGCCCAUUUCAAAUAGAUACUGGUGAGGUCAAUGAACCUGAACUUGGUGUACCAAUAUAAUACAACUAUUAUUAUCAAAGUUAUUUUUGAGAACAGCAGUGCAAAUUACUCAUCGAGUUGCGCAACAGGACAUUUUUUGUGGGAAAUAAUGUCUAGGAGGAAAGUGCGGAAUCAACGCCCCGCUGAGAGCGAGGAGGACUCCGAUAUUGACAACCUAUUAGCCGCUCUGACACUCGCGGAGGUGGAAGAGCUGCAGAGCGAACUGACCGUUAUUGACCCGGAUCCAACUGUGCCAGUCGGACUCCGGCAGAAGAACCAGACAGACAAGCAGCCGUCAAUAAAAUACAAUAGGGGGGCAAUGCUUGACUACUGUGAGCGCGAAACCAAGAAACUCAUUCAAAGGGAGCUGUCCUUUGAGGAGCCAACAACUGACAGAGUGAAACGGGAACGCCUGAAGAAGAUGGGGAAGAGCUGUGAUAGUUUCUUCUACUUCAAGUCAGAUGACCAGGAUGACCAGGAUGUCAUGGACCUAAACUUCUCUGCUGUGGAGACCCCUAAGGAGGACAUAUCCAAGGACAAAGAGGAAAAACCUCAGAGCAAGAACUUGAAGGGUGAGGGAGGGUGUAGAGAGGGCAACGAGGAAAGGCCACAUAGUAGGUUAGGGGGAGAUGAGGACAAAGACCAUGAAAAAAAUGAAGAUAAGAUUGUUGAAAAAAGCAAUGAAGUACAGGUUGAAGAAAAUGAGAAAAAGGAGGAGUGCAUAAAAAAGGAGAAAGGUAGUAACAAAACACUUGAUCUUAUCUCAAAAUUACAAACAAAAAAAGAGGAUACAAAAGAAAAGGAGCAAAAAGAUAUCAGAAAAAAGACAGUCUCUAAAACCAAGGAUCUGAUUUCAAGGCUUCAAGGGUAUGCUGAUAAAGAUGAUACUAAGGAGAAAGAGAAGAAAGAAAAACCUCAAAAAAUGAAGGAUAGCAAGAUCGCAAGAGGAAUUUUCUCUAAAGUAGAGGAAACGCAGAAAGAACUCAGGGGUACUGAGGUGAAAGAAAAGAGGAAUAAUGAGAGGGACAAAGAUAGCGAAAACACCAAAUCACACAGGAAACCAAGUAGAGUCCAGGAUGAGACACAGAGAGACAGUGAAAAGAAGACAGAAAGGACUCCUAAUAAAAACAGUAAAGCCAGCAAUGUAAACCUAGAGAACAGCAGUAGGGAAGAACGCUCAGCUGGUGAAGUCAUGGAGGGAGACAAGGAGGACGAGGAGGCCAGCAUGUUUGAUGAGCUCCUUGAGCAUGUCAGAAAAGACGACCCUUUAAUGACUGAGCUCAAUGUCAACAACUCAGACGUCAUCAAGACCCACACCCUCAUCCAGUUUGCAGAGGCACUACAACACAACACACAUGUCAAGACGUUUGCUUUAGCCAACACCCGAGCUGACGACCAUGUGGCUUACGCCAUUGCUUGCACUCUGCGGAACAACACGUCUCUGACCAAUGUCAUCCUUGACUCCAACCACCUCACUGGCAAGGGAAUUUUGGCUGUGGUACACGCCUUAGAGAAAAAUUUAACCAUCACUGAACUGCGCUUCCACAACCAGCGACACAUCUGUGGAGGCAAGACAGAGAUGGAGAUUGCCAAUGUAUUGAGAAACAACACCAGGUUGCUGAAGCUGGGCUACGGAUUUGAACUGGCCGGCCCAAGGAUGACCAUGACCAACAUCCUGAGUCGGAACAUGGACCUGCAGAGGCAACGUCGACUGGAGGAGAAGAAACAAGCACAAGCCCAGCCAUCCCAGCAGCCUCAGCCAUACCAGCCAACACGUCAGACACCACAACCACAGACCAACACAAAAAAGAACACAUUGCCUUUGGGGAAGUUUUCUUGCGAACCUUCAACUCAACCCCAAUCCAAGUCUAUUGGUGAGACUAAGAGGACAGGAAACCUCCUGAAAACAUCCCCCUUUUUGUUCUCCCCUAAACCCUCACCUGAACCCUUCCACAAGGUGAGCCCCAAAGCUGUGGGUAAGCUAAACCCUAAGGCUUGGGGUAGUAGGUCUGGACCAGGGUCUACAACACCUUUACCUCAGGCAGGGGAUGGUGUAUCUGGUCCUGGGUCUACACCACCUCCACCUCAGGCUCUUAAGGCUGGCCGAUCUGGACCAGCACCACCUCCUCCCCCUGCCCCAAUGUUGGAGGGCCUAAGGAAAGCCCUCAUGCCUGCCUCACAGAGGAAACUCAACAGGCAGACUUCACGCCACGGAGAGAGGAACACUAGGGACCAGUUGCUGGACUCCAUUCGCAACAGCACAAUGAAAGCUCUAAAAAAGGUUGAUGUUCCAAAGCUGCUUCAGUAAAGGGUGGGGAUGACGGCAAGAAGAGGUUGGACUUGAUACAAAAACAGAACAGCAUUUGUUUUACAUUAGUAGACCGGGGUGAAGCCCUGCCUCUGUUGUUGCUGCUGAGAUAUGGAGAGAUAUCUGAUCCAGUUGGUACUUCGAGCCAGAAGGUGGUUAUGGUGGUUUGUAAUCAUACAAAGUGAAAGCAUCUUAGGCUACAUUGCCUGCUGACUUCAGUCUCCCUCAGUUGAAUCUCUCCCUCCUGUUCUCCCGAGAUGCCCAUAUUUGGUCAUUGCAUUGAAGAUACAUUAUGACGUAAGAAUAACUCCUCUGUUCUUUUUAAUUACUGGAUGAUGGCCAGUUGGAUGUCCUGCUCUUUCAUGUGAGGCUUUGUCCGGCGAAGAGGUGGGGAGAAUGGGGGAGGUGCACGGCGGAAAGGGAAUAGUUAAAAGGGGACGAGCAACUGGAAGGAAAUGCUUACACAUUGCAAGUCACCGUAUUUUCUUAUUUUCAAAUGUUACGUGGCCAUAAGCACAAUGAACGAGGGCAUUUGUUUGAUGUUUAUUUAAAGACAUUUUUCCAGUGUCACUACAAAGGAUGUAAUUAAACAUUUAACCAAACACAUACUGUAGCUAGUAUUGAACACACAAUUUGUAUAUGAAGUGCGUGUGGGUUCAUAAUCUGGUCAAUGUGUAAUAUAACAGCAGCCAAUCUCUCUGUUAGUUGUCCAUAGGGAUACAAACUGCUUACAACAUGCAUGUAUGAGGCACUUCCCUAGAGCUGGCAGGAGAACUCUUGAACUUUGCAAGCAUUUCACUAUGAUGGAUUGUGUCCUGAGAGGGAAGGGAAUAUAUUUUGGGAAUAGUUAGUGCUAUCUGGGAUCCUUGGGACAUCCCGUCCCUAUCCUAAAUCCUAACCCCAACCUUAACUCUUACCUUAAGCAUUUUACAUUUCAUCUUCAAUGGGGUAGUUGGAAUAGCAAAACUCCCGGAUAGCAAGGACCUUUUGAGAAGGUUUUGAGAAUGUUGUGUUUUGAAUUCACCCAUGAGGUGUACCGUACAGAUGUUUUACGUCAUGAAAAUAUACCAAGACAAUUCUGAAAUGUAUUUACAGAACCAAACAAAACAUAUUAAUAUGUCUGGUUUCGAGAAUGCAUCCGAUAGCUAAUAACCAGGUCAUUAAAUUCCUCCAGAUGAACAAUUGUGGAAUAUUCCGUCUGUUUUAGAUGUCUACAUCCGCCUUAUAGAGGCUUUUGAUUCAACAAAAGUAGCACCUGUCUGUAGCACUUCCUUCCUGAAAUGUUGCAAUCAGUUUAUAUUUUUCACUUCCUUAAGUAAGACAAAAACAGCCCUGAGCCACUGCAAAUGAUGCUGCUCAAUGGAGACUGAUACGGUGACAGUAGGAGCAUUCGGGAGAAAAGUGGGUCUGUCCUCACAUGUAGAGUAUCUGUGGUGAAAUUAUUUUACAACUCAAAACAUGAAAAUCUAUCUGAAGUUUCUCCUUUACUUGCCAGUUUUAUGCUGUGAUGCAAAAAUGAGCAAAUUUGGAGCGCACGGAUAUGAAGGUGGAGCUUUAGACAUUGAGUGUUCAUAUCCAGAUGGAUAUCAAUAUAAACCCAAAUACUUGUGUCGCCAUCCCUGUUCCAACAGUGACAUUCUCAUCAGAAGUGUGAAGGGUGAAGCAUUUGUCCCAGUAGGAAGAUUUUCAGUAUAUGACAAUGUCCAUGGAUGUACUUUCAUUGUCAGCAUCCAAAACCUGGAAUUACAGGACUCUGGACAUUAUUAUUGUGGACUUGAUAAGUGGGGAAGAGAUGUUUUAACAAAAGUAGAGAUCUCUGUGAGUAAAGCUCCAUUGGUCACUUCACUGUCUACACCUGCCCCUGUGAUUGACAGGAAGGACCCCACUGAGACUAACAAAUAUGUUUCCUCAGAGGUCCCCACCUUUACACAGUUGCCAUACAAAAAGUUACCUGUUGCAGAUUGGGAUGUCACACCUCCAACAACCUCAACUAUUCGGAUUGGUAGCCCAGGCUUUGUACAUGUCCACGUUGUUGUGGGAGCUGUCCUUGGACUAUUGAUGUGUUGCACUGUGGUUGCACUUGGCCUACUCCUCAGAAAACAAUCAAUGUCACGCUCACUGACAUUUCCAUCAUCUGAAGUAUCAGAUCCUGUAGAUAUUGCACAGGAUGAAGAGGACACUUGUCAUGUGUAUGAUGAGAUAAUUAUGUACAGCUCCAACAGUGACUUGUACUGCACCAUUAGGUUUUGUGAAACCCCACCGGAAAUAGAAGACAAUGCUCUCUACUCCCUCCUGACACUAAAUGAACAAAGACCUCAGUGAGGGUCACAAGUCUCUAAUCAACAGAGGGCAUUCUCAUAACACUGCCAACACAUUGAUGGUGGAUGUGCAGUAUCAUUAUUGCUAUUAUGUGUGUGUGCGUGCGUGCGUACAUACGUACGUGUGUGUGUGUGUGUGUGUGUGUGGUUUACAGUUGAAGAUUGUCAGAUGUUUUCACUGUUUCCCUGCAUCUGUUUCCUCUGAUACAGUGCCUAGUGAAAAUUAAAAAAAUAUAGAACAUU